CCUACGGGUGUCUGCAGUGAGGAAUAUUGGUCAAUGGACGCGAGUCUGAACCAGCCAAGUAGCGUGAAGGAUGACUGCCCUAUGGGUUGUAACCUUCUUUUAUCUGGGCAUACCACAGAGUAUGCCUAACCUCUUGUAUGUACCAUAUGACUAAGCAUCGGCUAACUCCGUGCCAACAGCCGCGGUAAUACGGAGGAUCCCAGCGUUUUCCGGAUUUAUUGGGUGUAAAGUGAGCGUAGGUGGAUAGUUAAGUCAGUUGUGAAAGUUUGCGGAUUAACCGUAAAAGUGAAGUUGAAACUGGCAGUCUUGAGUACAGGAGAGGUAGGCGGAAUUCGUGGUGUAGCGGUGAAAUGCUUAGAUAUCACGAGGAACUCCGAUGGCGAAGGCAGCUCACUGGACUGCAACUGACGCUGAUGCUCGAAAGUGUGGGUAUCAAACAGGAUUAGAUACCCGUGUAGUC
rnacentral:rRNA from 1 species